UAUUUUGCAAUUCUAUAUUCAAUACCAGUAGCACCUAGACUUAUCUACUGCUUCAUAGUGCUUUACAGACUUCUCUAAGCAGUUUACAGAGUCAGCAUAUAUUGCCCCCAACAAUAUGGGU